AAAGCUCGUAGUUGGAUUCAGAGGUGGGGUUGUGGGUCGGGUGUGGCCCGGCAGCUUGUCUCCGUGUGCCGCUCCCAAUCAACCCGCGUUUGCCCCAGCCUCCUAUCGCACGGAAACGGAGUCCUGCUGGGGUCUCCUUAACUGGGGGUUCCAGCGCUUCCGCGCACAACGUGCGCUUACGGACCGUCCGUGGACGUUACUGUGAACAAAACAGCGUGUUCAAAGCAAGUGGCUUGCCUGCCCUGCAUGUUAAAGCAUGGAAUAACAAGGCAUCGACCACUCGGCGGUGCUUUUGUUGGUCUUUCCCUCCCGGUGGRAAUGCGCAGGCGUGCACACUGCCGGCCUUCUGGCCGGUCUGGGUGCCGUCUCUUCGAGAUCAAUAGGGGCAAACGGGGAGAUACCUAUUGUGGGGAGAGCGGUGAAAUGCGAUGACCCCCAUAAGAGGAACUUCAGCGAAAGCAGUUCUCAAGACUGCCUUCGUUAAUCAAGAACGAGACUGUGGGGAUCAAAGAUGAUCAGAUACCGUCGUAGUCCACUAGCGUAAACGAUGCCGACUCAUCAUUGGGGGGCA
rnacentral:rRNA from 1 species